rnacentral:lncRNA from 1 species
GUCACGAUCUGACGCGCAAUCUGUGUCGGUGCCUCACCCUCCCAAACGAACCUGUCCUGGUGCUCCUCCAGGACAGUCACAAGAUUAGCUUUUAGGGCAGGGGGUAACCCCUUCUCUAGUGCCACAUGUCCCCCCUCCAGCUGGUAUACCUCGGUCUCGUCCACAGGUUGUAAUUUUUCCCUCUCCUCAGUGUUAGGCGGGGUGUGGACGAGCAUGUUGUCGAGUUUUGUCAGCUGGGUUGCCUUCUUAUACCCUUGUCUAGAAUCUUUUUGUGAUCCUUUGACAGUCGCAACGAACCCGUUUACUGGAUAUCGAAUGCAUUAGUGAUAAGAAGACGGGACUGCUUGGAUUCCAUGGAUGAAGGGGCGUCCGAAAAUGCCAUGGAAAGUAGAUUCUACCUCCACUACUAUGAAGCGGCAUGUUCGGCUAACCCUUCCUCGCUUGGAACCGAUGGAUACCUUUAGGUCAAUAACACCGGCCACUGGGGCGGCGAUGUUAGUGAAAUCGUAGAUGGCUUCCUUACAGGGAGAUAGUUCCUCCCUUUUAUAGCCCAUCUUGGUAAAAGUAUCCAUGUAGAGGAUAUCCGCAGGGCUGCCGCUGUCGACAAUCAUCCUCUCG